GGUAACCUGCUGUGGCUGGGGAGCACUGGGCAGCUGCUGUCACUGCUGACUGCAGCCAGGCAGCGCAGUGCUGACAAUGUCACAUGUCACAUGUCACAUGAUCCACACCAAGACAGUGGGGUGCACUGACAUCACCUCAAGCUGUGGUGCAAAUCUGGGUCACUUGGCAACCCCUGUCCCAUGACUUUCAUGACAAGUUAAGGUGGGAGCCCUCCGGCAAAAGAGAAUCAAAGACCAUGCUGCUCAGAAAGAAAUGGGAGUCGUGGGGAUUUGUGGAUCUGUCAAAUCUCUGCAGCCACUAAAUGAUGCAUAAGGAAAAGCUCUGCCCUCUCACCAAAUCAUUCAGAGGAGACUGGAGUAUAUGUAAGUGCAAUGUGAUCCUGUUUCUGCUCCUGCUUCAAACAGAGUUUGUGGAUCAUGAUCUCUCUUCCUACCCCAUGCUGAGGAAUCCAACUGCCAGAACCAGACACUACAAGAGUGCCCAUUCCAUCUUCUAUUGCACCCAGUCUUGUUCCAGCCUUGUAGAGACUUAAUGCAGCC